rnacentral:rRNA from 1 species
CAGCCGCCGCGGGAAUACGUAGGGUGCGAGCGUUAAUCGGAAUUACUGGGCGUAAAGCGUGCGCAGGCGGUUCGUUAAGACAGAUGUGAAAUCCCCGGGCUUAACCUGGGAACUGCUUUUGAUACUGUGUUGCUUGAGUUCGGGAGAGGUGAGUGGAAUUCCCAGUGUAGAGGUGAAAUUCGUAGAUAUUGGGAAGAACACCGGUGGCGAAGGCGGCUCACUGGACCGACACUGACGCUGAGGCGCGAAUGCGUGGGGAGCGAACAGGAUUAGAUACCCGCGUAGUCCCUGUCUCUUAUAC